AGAGUUGAUCAUGGCUCAGAUUGAACGCUGGCGGCAUGCUUUACACAUGCAAGUCGAACGGUAACAGGCCGCAAGGUGCUGACGAGUGGCGAACGGGUGAGUAAUGCAUCGGAACGUGCCCAGUCGUGGGGGAUAACUACUCGAAAGAGUAGCUAAUACCGCAUACGCCCUGAGGGGGAAAGUGGGGGACCGCAAGGCCUCACGUUAUUCGAGCGGCCGACGUCUGAUUAGCUAGUUGGUGGGGUAAAGGCCUACCAAGGCGACGAUCAGUAGCGGGUCUGAGAGGAUGAUCCGCCACACUGGGACUGAGACACGGCCCAGACUCCUACGGGAGGCAGCAGUGGGGAAUUUUGGACAAUGGGGGCAACCCUGAUCCAGCCAUUCCGCGUGAGUGAAGAAGGCCUUCGGGUUGUAAAGCUCUUUCGGCAGGAACGAAACGGUUGCGGUUAAUACCCGCGGCUACUGACGGUACCUGCAGAAGAAGCACCGGCUAACUACGUGCCAGCAGCCGCGGUAAGACGGAGGGGGCAAGCGUUGUCCGGAAUCACUGGGCGUAAAGCGCACGUAGCGGCGCGGUGCGUCGGUGCUGAAAGCUCCCGGCUUAACCGGGAGAGGUGUGCCGAUACGACCGGGCUGGAGGCAGGCAGAGGGUGGCGGAAUUCCGGGUGUAGUGGUGAAAUGCGUAGAGAUCCGGAGGAACGCCUGUGGCGCAAGCGGCCACCUGGGCCUGACCUGACGCUGAGGUGCGAAAGCGUGGGGAGCGAACCGGAUUAGAUACCCGGGUAGUCCCGCCGUAAACGAUGCCGGCUCGGUGCCUGGGCGCCGUUCAGGUCCCUGGGUGCCUCAGCUCACGCGGUAAGCCGGCCGCCUGGGGAGUACGAGCGCAAGCUUAAAACUCAAAGGAAUUGACGGGGCCCGCACAGCAGCGGAGCGUGUGGUUUAAUUCGACGCAACGCGAAGCACCUUACCCAGGCUUGACAUGGAUCUGCACCCCGGUGAAAGCCGGCGCCUUCGAGGGUGAUCCACAGGUGCUGCAUGGCUGUCGUCAGCUCGUGUCGUGAGAUGUUGGGUUAAGUCCCGCAACGAGCGCAACCCUCGCCGACAGUUACACGUGUCUGUCGGGACUGCCGGCUUUCGGCCGGAGGAAGGCGGGGAUGACGUCAAGUCCGCAUGGCCCUUACGCCUGGGGCGACACACACGCUACAAUGGGACGGACAGCGCGCCGCGACCCCGCAAGGGGGAGCAAAUCGUCAAACCGUCCCCCAGUUCAGAUCGGGGGCUGCAACUCGCCCCCGUGAAGGUGGAGUUGCUAGUAACCGCGUAUCAGCCAUGGCGCGGUGAAUGCGUUCCCGGGCCUUGUACACACCGCCCGUCACGUCAUGGGAGUGGCCAAUGCUUGAAGUCCGUGCGCUAACCACUUGUGGAGGCAGCGGCCGAGGGCAGGGGUCGCGACUGGGACGAAGUCGUAACAAGGUAACGUA
rnacentral:rRNA from 1 species